rnacentral:lncRNA from 1 species
AGUUGUCAGGUUUACCACCUGUCAGGGAGUUAGAGUUGAGCAUAGGAGUGGUGUCUGGACCUAGAACCAUUUCUAUUCUCCCCUACAGGAUGGCGCCAGCAUAGAGAAAGGUAGUAGUCAGAGUAGAGGCGAGACUUGGUAGACAGGGGUUUUAUCCGACCUAGUACCUCACCCUGGAUUGUUCCACUGUGGUGGUGGGAAAAGAAGGAUGAAUCCUUGAGACUUUGUAACAACUAUAAGCAGUUGACCAAGGUCACUACCAAGGGCAGGUAUUCCCAUGCAGGAUGGAUGAUCUAUUGGGACAGCUAUUAGGAGCUAUUUGUUUUCCAAGAUAGAUCUGAAAUCCGGGUACUACCUAUGAGAGGUAGAGUUAGUUUUGGGUUAGCAGUGAGAAGAAGCCAGUUAGUGAAGAUGAAGAGAAAAGAGUAAGGAUCAGAGAAGCGCAGCGGAAGCCAAUGGAGUUUAGGAGAAGGUUGGGUAUUGCUAAGGUGUUUCUUUUGGGAUAAGGUGUGUCUGGGAGACCCGGGAGUUCUUGCUCCAGCAGUAUCUGUGUCUCUCUUUAGAGAAAGGUUUUUAGGUUUGCUUGCUUGUUUGCUUGCUUGAUGUUAUGUUUUGAGAAUGCCUGUUUGUUUGUGGAACAUUCGGGGACGAAUGUUCUUAAAGGGGGGAAGAAUGUAAUACCCGGCUAGAUUUCGGCAUCGGAAUCCCUACCUUCUGGCGGAAUCUCCGUUGGAAUCUGGAAUUCUGAAGAUGCUAGAGGCUUCUAGAGGCUUCUAGAGGGGUAAAAUGUGUUUUCUAAAAUGUUUUUACUGAUUUUAUGGUCUUAAAUGGAAAGUAAUUGAGUUUUCAAAAGAAAAGACCAAGGAAGCGUUUGCCAGGUUCGGCCGCCGAAAGUGAAGUUCGGCCGCCGAACAUGGAAAGGUUUUGGGAGCGCUUUUGGCCUCCGAAAGCUUUGUUUGAACGAGCCAAGGUUCGGCCAUCGAACCUCAAGUUCGGCCGCCGAACAUGCAUGAGUUUAGGGGGCACGUUAGGCUGCCGAAGGUCUUUGACCAGGCCACCUAUAAAGAGCUCUCAGAUCGGAAAUGGGCGAGUUUUCUCCCCAUUCUCGAGCUCAGGUGAGUUUUUGCCCUCCUUUGGUCAUUUUCAUGUUUUCUCUACCCAUCCCUCAAGUUUUUCAUGAGUUCUACCCUUGUUUUGAAGUUUUGAAGCUUUAAUAGGAGUUUUGGGAGCUUGGAGGCUUUUGGAGCUUGAAUCCUCCACACCUCCAAGUUAGGGAUUGCACCACCCCUCGAUCUUCAAGAGGAAAGUGUAGAUCCUUGCUUCCUUUAUGUUUUAAUGAAGUUUUAAGUAAGUUUAAUGAUGUUUUAAUGGUUGAGUGUGGGUAGAUAUGCAUAUUUAAGUUUAUGUGGGUUUUAUGCCUAAUGUAUGCUUAUGCCUGUUUAUGUAUGUUUAUGUGAUGUUAUGUUGAAGGUUUAAGCUAGUUUAUGCAUGUGGGAGAGUGUAUGCAUGAUUGGGAGAGAGCAAGUGAGGUGUUGUGUAGUUUUGAUGGUUUUGGCUUAUGAGGGUCAGCUCUCUAUGCAUGCUCUAUGAUGUUCUUUGUUGGAGUUUAAGCUUGUUUAAACUCCUUUGUGCAUGGUUAAGGGUUUAUGCAUGUUUUUAGGAAGUUGGGUGCUUCUUUGGGGUGUUUGGAAGGUUUGGGAGGCUUGAAUGCAUAAGAGGCUGAGUUCUGGAUGAACUCAGGUUCGGCCGCCGAAGGUAGUUUCGGCCACCGAACCUGCCUAUGGAUGCAUGGAUUGGCCGCCUAACCUUGCCCCCGAAAGUUGAGUUUUGGCUUGAAAGCAGACUUUCGGCCGCCGAAGGAAGGUUCGGCCGCCGAAAGUGCCUGACUUUCGUCUCUGGAGAGGGACUUUCGGCCGCCGAAGGUGCCGCCGAAAGUGCCUGAGUUUCGUCUCUGGAGGAAGGGUUCGGCCGCUGAAGGUGCCGCCGAAAGUGCCCUGUCCAGCCUUUUCAUGGUUGUUUUCUAUGCAUGUUUAAGUGAUGUUUUAGGGGGUUUUUGGGUAGUUGUUUAUGAGUUGUUAGAGUGUGUUUGGCACCUCAUUCGAGUCCACCUGUGUAGGAUCGGACCCGAGGGACCGAGGAGGCCAUCAGUGUUAGCAGNNNNNNNNNNNNNNNNNNNNNNNNNNNNNNNNNNNNNNNNNNNNNNNNNNNNNNNNNNNNNNNNNNNNNNNNNNNNNNNNNNNNNNNNNNNNNNNNNNNNNNNNNNNNNNNNNNNNNNNNNNNNNNNNNNNNNNNNNNNNNNNNNNNNNNNNNNNNNNNNNNNNNNNNNNNNNNNNNNNNNNNNNNNNNNNNNNNNNNNNNNNNNNNNNNNNNNNNNNNNNNNNNNNNNNNNNNNNNNNNNNNNNNNNNNNNNNNNNNNNNNNNNNNNNNNNNNNNNNNNNNNNNNNNNNNNNNNNNNNNNNNNNNNNNNNNNNNNNNNNNNNNNNNNNNNNNNNNNNNNNNNNNNNNNNNNNNNNNNNNNNNNNNNNNNNNNNNNNNNNNNNNNNNNNNNNNNNNNNNNNNNNNNNNNNNNNNNNNNNNNNNNNNNNNNNNNNNNNNNNNNNNNNNNNNNNNNNNNNNNNNNNNNNNNNNNNNNNNNNNNNNNNNNNNNNNNNNNNNNNNNNNNNNNNNNNNNNNNNNNNNNNNNNNNNNNNNNNNNNNNNNNNNNNNNNNNNNNNNNNNNNNNNNNNNNNNNNNNNNNNNNNNNNNNNNNNNNNNNNNNNNNNNNNNNNNNNNNNNNNNNNNNNNNNNNNNNNNNNNNNNNNNNNNNNNNNNNNNNNNNNNNNNNNNNNNNNNNNNNNNNNNNNNNNNNNNNNNNNNNNNNNNNNNNNNNNNNNNNNNNNNNNNNNNNNNNNNNNNNNNNNNNNNNNNNNNNNNNNNNNNNNNNNNNNNNNNNNNNNNNNNNNNNNNNNNNNNNNNNNNNNNNNNNNNNNNNNNNNNNNNNNNNNNNNNNNNNNNNNNNNNNNNNNNUUUCUUUAUGUUUUCAGUUAUGUCGCAUACAGGUCAGGCUCGGUAUAUACAUCAGAUGUUUAAGUUUUUAUGUUAAAGUUUUGAUCAUGUAUGGGAUUUGACCAGGUGAUAGGAUGUAUGUUUGGCUUGCUACGGGUCCCGGCGGCCUUAAGCCGAUCUGGAUCCUAGCGCCGGUAGCGGUUCGAGCCGUUACAGAGGGGUAUCGGUUUCUGGGUCGUUACAGGUAAUUUGUUUAUUUAAGUUUUAGAGUUACGAAAUUAGCUACAUUCAAAGUAGGAGAAGCCAUGGGAGCGGACAGAACCUGCUCUGAUACCAAGCAAGAAAUUAUGAAGAAGUGAAUAAUAUAAUAUUGAAUGUAGCUCCGAUAUUCCAAUGAGCUAUAAUACACUGCUUUAAAUAAAAAAAUAAUAACAACUGCUGUAGCAACUAAAUAGGAGAAAGCGGAGAAAGUGGAGAAAAUGACUGAGCUAUUUCAGGUAAUCAAACCCAUUACCCGUGGGAUUCUAACCACUAAGACUUAUUCAAACUAAACAUAUUUACAAUAAUACACCUUAUCUCUCCACAGCUCUAGCACAUGGCAUCCAGCCUUAUAACUCUAGAGGGAUAUUUGCAUCCUUAUAACCCCUUAAGUCAUUAGAUUAUUCCUUUCAGCAACUCCAUUUUGGCGGGUGUAUCAACACAUGACGAUUAAUGAAGAAUACCAUUUUAAGUCAUGUAAAUCUAGAAUGAUUCUGAUAUAUAUUUUUUAGCAUUGUUGCUUCACAAAAUUUACACAGAAAAAUUAAAUUGAAUCUUAAUUUCAAAAUAAAAGGCAGAAAAAUAAGAAAAUACUUUCGAACGAUACUUCGUAAAAUAAAUCCAUAUUAUUCUAGAAAAAUCAUCCAUAAAAAUGACAAAAUAUAUGAAUCCAACUUAGACCUAACCGGACAUGGUCGCCAAACAUCCGAAUGAACUAAUUCAAUAGCAAACUCAGUUCAUUUAUUAACUCUUGGACUUGAAGUGGUUUGAUAAUAUUUUGCAAGAUGACAUGACUCACACUCUAGUGAAAAUACCUCAUGAAAUUGAGGGUAUAGCUUCUUCAAAACCGAUAAAGAAGGAUGUCCCAACCGAUAAAGAAGGAUGUCCUAACCGAUAAUGUGCUUCGAACGGAGACACGAUACUGGAAUAGGACCGAGGCACCCAUGUAUUCAAAAUGUAAAGACCACCAGAUACAUGUCCUUUACCAAUAAUCUUCUUCAUCAUAAGAUCCUAAAUGAGACAAUAAUCAGGAAAAAUUGGGACACAGCAAUUCAGAUCUUUGAUAAGUUUACUCACAGAAAUUAAAUUAAAAUUAAGAUUAGGUAAACUUAACAUAGAUGAUAGGGUAAUAGAAGAAGUGAGUUUAAUAAUCUCAAAAUCCUCAACAUUAUAGGUUGACCUAUCAACAAUGGUAACACGAGAAGGUGUUUUAUGAAAUCACAAGCGGACAAAAAUAUGAGGAUUACCUGUCAUGUGAUCCGUGGCACCAAAACCAACCAAUGAUCCAUUUAUAUGAAGAGGAGAUAAGAGAAGUUUUACCUGUCUGAGCAAUAGAAGUUAUUGGAGUGAACCCUUUCAAUUAAUUUUUUUUUUUUAAAUUUUGGUAGGCAUUGGUAUGAUUUUAGUAAUAUGUAUCUUACUAUUAGAAGUCAUUUCAACCAAAACUUAGCAUAAAUCACCAAUUCACUUCACACAAUGCUUCAAGACACGAAAUCAGGUCUUAAAACACAACACUCAACCUUAAAAAACUUAAACACAAAUAAGGAAUGGAGGAUCUAAAAUCUGCUUAGUUACAACAGAGGAGAAACCUAACUAAAGCAAUGUUCGAUAACAGGAACUGGAGGCUCAUCGGAAGCGCCACGCUUUUCCACGCGCUGGCGCGUGACAGAUCGAACUAACCUUCAAACAGUGCUUGAGAUCCACUUGCCGAUUGGAUUACCGUCAGACUUCAAGGAAUGGCCAAAAAUGCACCUGCGUGCCUUGGGAAGCUGGAGAUGAGACCAAAUGGGCAUCAGAUUCUGGUGAUCUAACCAAACAGUUUCUCUUUACUGAGAACCCAAAGGAAAAAAAACAGAGGACUUUUAAACCCAAAUGCUCUAAUACCAUAUAACAAGAUAAGGAAUAAUUGGGUAAUUUCUAUGUAUAUUCUCUAUUGAAAUAAUUGUAUUUACAUACAGAUUACAAAGUUUUGUUAAGACAACUUCUAAGAAUCAUCUGUCAAUAGUAUUAAUUAGUCUAUGAUUAUGUAAUCUCCUUUAAUUAUGUACAGAUUAUAUUUAUACUAUAAUAUUUUUAUUUUCUCUUGCUAAAUGACUUAGACCACAUAUACAUUACAUAUAUAGAGUAGACUACAACUAAUCUUAGCCGAUAACUACUAAAUACAAAAACUAAGUGUAACUUAAAUUUUUUAUCUCUAACUAUAUCUUCUCAAAUAUUUGUGCACUAUCUUAUAUCUCCACUGCCUUGUCUCUCCUAUAACUCUUAUCACUUCAGGCUCAUAGAAAGAUAGUCUAAUAAUCUUGUUUGAAUUGAAUAAAAAAUGUUAGAAUGAAGUAUUUAUAAGUUCAAAAUUAUUUACCGCCAUUGGACAUUACUAAAUACGUAAAAAUACCUUUUUAAAUAAAAUAAUCAUUAUUUUAUUAUUUUUUUUAAAUUUAUGCAGAAAUAAAUUCCAAUAAUAGUAAGGUAGUUAACAAACUAAGUAGUAACAAUAGCAAAUAAAAAAUGAAGUCCUCUACGACAAGAUGAUCAAGUUUUUUAGGUACUAAAUUUUAAAAAGAAAGGAAAUUAAAGUAUGUUUCGUUGGCAACACUUCUCUCUUUACUUUUGUAUACGAGUCUUAUCAUACAAAAAUCCAACUCUAUGAUUUCAAUUAUCUUCAAAGACUUUCAAUCUAGCUUUAUAGACAAUUCUUUAUCUUUAUUUUUCUCUGAUUUAUCUUGUAUUUUCUUUAAGUAGCUUCAAUUUAUAUAGACUACUUUCACACAAUGACGAAUGCUUUUAAUUCAUUUCAUGAUACCUAAUCAAGAACUUUAAUCCAUAACUUGAAAUAAUAUUAGGCAGAUUCUAGUUAAAUUUUGUUAUUAUCAAAAUUAACCCUUAUAUUAGGAGAUUAUAGAGCUAAUAUUUUUAUCUAAGUUAUUCGAUAUUUGAAAUUCAAUCAUCGACUAAUUCGAGUCCAUAUUGAACAAGUCUAGAAAGAGAGUAAAGUGGUGUUUUUUAAAUUCUGAAAAUACUGAUUAAAUAAGAAGAAACUCGUACAAUAAUCAUUUCUUUAUGUAAAACUUAUUUUUAAUAAUAAUAAAUAGCAAAAUAAAACUAUAUUAUAUUUUAUAACAUUAUGAUAAAAAUAAUUUAAACAAUAGGCUCACGCAUCUCCAAUGAUUUUAGUAGCAGAUCAGUUAGGGGAUGGCAGUUAUAACUAUAUAACUAAGGGAAAGGUUAAUUUCUCUUUCAAGUUUUUUUUUUUAUAUAUAAUCAAUAUUUUCACAAUUUAAAUUCAUUUAAUUUAUUUUUUAGGUUUUUUAUACAAUUUAAAUUCGUUUAAUUUAUUUUUUAGAUUUUUAAUAAAUCUUUUGAGCUUUUUACACAAAUAAAAUUCAUUUAAUUUGUUUUUUAGUGUUUUUAUAUGAUUGAGAUUCAUUUAAUUUAUUUUUUGAAUUUUUGAUUGAAAUUAAUUUAUAUUUAUCUAUUAAUUUUAUUUUAUAGUGGAUUGACAUAAUUUUAAAAUGUUAUAUUUUUUAUCGUGAAAAUUCAGCAUAAUAAAAAUUUAAAAAUACUCCGAACUUAAAAAUAUUUAGUAAUCAUAUAAACAACUAACAUAUAAAAUAUUUUUUAAUUAAAAAUUACUAUCAUAUAAUUAUGAAAAUAAUUAUAUUACAUAUCCUGUUUAAUAAAUAGAUUCGAUCUUUAUAAAUUAACAUAAUAUUAAAAAUUAAAAGUAUAAUAUAAUUCGUAGUGAUUUAAUUAAUAAUAAAUUUUAUUUAUAUUAUUAUUCAAAAUAAAUACAAAGAAUACAUUAAAAAUUUAAUAACUUUGUGGAGUACUUUGAUUCAAAAUUUUAAUUUCAGAUUUUAUAAAAGAAAUUCAGUUCAUUUUAUUUCUAUUACAACUUCCAUCACUCUGAAAAAUUUAAAAGUAAUAUAUAUUUUUUAAUUAUAAAGAAAUUAUUUUUUAUUAUUUAUUAAAUAGUUAAAUUGAAAUUAAAAUUAUUAAAAACAUAAAUUUUAUUAACUGUACUUUUAUUUUUUAUUUUUAUAGAAAAGGUUUUUAUUUUUUAUAAAAUAAUAAAAUUACUCAUUUUUCAUGUCCUACUAAGAGGCUUUUUCAUUUUAUAGUUAAUAAGAAAAGAGAUCAUUUAUUACUUUUUCAUAAUUUAGUAAUAACAUAUUAAGAAUUUAUUAUUAUUAUUUUUAAUUAUAUCCAUUUUAAAUAUUUAUUUAAAAAAUAUAAUUAAUAAAAAAAUUUAAAAAUAAAAUUAUAAUAAUUAAUUUAUAUAUUACUAUCAUGUGAAAAAUGAAAGUAAAUAAUAAUUAAAAAAAUAGAUAAAAAUUAUAAUAUGGAAGAAAAUAGUUAAUUGAUUAUUAUACUUUAAAAAAUUUUGGUAUUUAAUAGAUUAUAUUUUAAUUUAAAUUUUCAAUAAUUUACUACUAAAUAAUGACCACUCAUACGCUGGUGGGCCCUGAAUUAGGUUUUAUUUUCUAAUAUCUUCCUCUCAUCAUACAAUAUCAAGAUAAUUUUUAUUUUUAAUAAAAUUAGUCAAUUUUAAUUUUAUUUAAAAAUUCAAAUUAUCAAAAAUAAAAUAUCAUAAUUUUAGUUCUUUUUUAUUAAUUUUUUACUUUUAUUUUUCUUUUUUAAUUAAUUAAUAAUCAUUCAUUAAUAAAAUUAUUUUAUUUAAAAAAAUUUACAAUAAGUACUCAUUCUUCUAUUUUUUUUAUUUUUUAAUAUUAUUAAAUCUAACAUUGAAUUGAAAUAGGAAUAAUGUAUUCAUGAUCUUUAAUAUUUUUACUUUUGAAUUAAUUUUUGAAAUACGUGAAUUGUGAUCUAAAUUUAAUAUGAUAUCAAAAUCUGCUCUUAAUAUUAAACUUUUAUUUAAUUAAAUUUUGAGUGAGUUAGACCUGAUCUAAAUUUAACAAAUAUAAUUAAUUAAAUGACCUAAUUAAUUAUAUUUAAUCUUAAAUUUGAUAAAAUCCACACAUAAGUUCUGUAUUUUUAAAAAUCACCUAUUUAAUCUUUAUAUUUUAAAAAAUUAACAGUUUAGCUUCUAUAUAAUAAGCUCCCUUUAUCUAAUUUGCCUUCAUCUAAUCUGCAAAUUACUUUUUCUAUUUGUAUAUUGUUUAAUAAUUUAGCCUCUAUAAUUUAAAUACAACAAAUUAUUUUUUAAAAAUAAUAAAACAAUCAUAAUUUAACUAUAUUUUUAUGAAAUGAAUUAAUUUUUGUUAGUUUUUAAUAGGGAAUUAAAUAACUUAUUUAUAAAAAUAUAAAAAUUAAUAUUAAUAUUACUGAAACCAAAUUGAUGAUGUGGCCGAAAAAGAGCAAUGUUGUGAUUGAUCUAAUGGAGUUAUGUUGUCAUUAAUCUGUUUCCAAAAUAUAAAAUGUGAGGUGUUUCGCGUCUAUGCCAAUUACUCCAACGCUUAAGUUUUAAGUUAGUAAAUUAAAGAGAAUAACGAGUAUAAUGUUUAAAACUCGAUAAUAAUUGUAUGAGAUAAUAACACACUUUUACCUAUGUGAUUAUUGACUUUUGUACUGUAAGGAGGUCGUUGAUAAGGAAUGUUCACCAGCUAAUUAGUCGGAAAUCCGUGAUCGCAAAUAUAAAGGGAAUCUGGUAGAUUGUAACGGUCAAUAGUAAUUUUCUUAUGUGGUUUCGCUAUGGAUUUGGGAGCGUGAGUCUGUCUAACCUCACUCAAAAUCAACCUGAAGCGCCUUGGAUCUUCUUUUCUCUCGUUGUUGGACACUAUGGUUAUUCGGCUUUCAUUUCUAUGGGUAUAAUCACAUAUUAAUUUAUCAAAUUUUUGUCACGUGAUUUUAUUUUACAGUAAUAACUCAUUGACCACUGUGAACCAUUAUUGUGUAAUAUCAAAUAUGAAUGUUAUGAAAUAAAUUGUAAUUUAUUAUUAAUUGUGAUAAAAGUAAUUAAUUUGACUAAAUCACCUGUUUAUCUCAUCUUGGUAAAAUAAUUUCAAUAAUUAUAUUUUGAAUUAAUAUAAUGAGAAAUUUAAAAUUAAAAAAAAAGGGGACAAAUGAUAAAAUAGGUUUUAGAAAAUUGAAAAAUAGUUAUUUGUGCUUAGUGAAGAUAAAGGUAAAAUUAAAAAAAAUUAACUAAUAGUCUUAAUUUUAUCAAAAUAAUAAAUAAUUUUAAACAAACAGCUUUCAAAAAGGGCCACAUAAAAACAAACUAAAGAAGUAUUUAUAGUUUUAUGUUUCUUUUGUUAUUUAUUGGUAAUAAUUUGAUAAAAAAUAAAAUAUAUUUUAAGAUUUCAAUUUAUUUUUUAUAUUAAUUAAAAUUAUCCCAAUAAUAAAAAAAUACAAAGUAUUUUCAACGCCCAUUGUGCUUAAUGAUAUUUGUAUUUAAAAUACUUAAUCAUUAAAAAUGUUAUUUUCUUCAUAUUAUUAAAUUAAUAAUAAAGUAUCUUUUUAAAAUAUUAAUAAUAACAUUUAAUUAAUAAUAAAAUAAAAAUUUUCAUCCACUUCAAAUCAAUUGUCAAGCAAUAGCUUUUAAAAAAAAAGAGUAUCUGCUCAAUUCAAUAAUUAAUAUUGAAAAAUUUCUUCUGUCAAACAUUAAAUUAUUUUAAAUUUAAUUGAUAAUAAAUUGUAAUAAAUCAUUAAACAAUAUCUACAUGCACAAACAGUUGGAGGAUCAAUAAUAAUAGGGUUACAAAAAAUACUUAAAAUAAUUUAGAAAAUAAAUUACUAUUUUUCUCAUUUUAUGGCUAAUAAAAAAUAAACUAUUCAAUAUAUUUUAAAUAUUUUAAAUUAUAAAAAAACUAAUAAGAAAUUGGAAUGUGUGACUGCUAACAAUAUAUGUGAUAAUAAAUAAUUAUAUUUAUUUUUUAAUUGGUCAAUAAUAUUUAAUUAAUUAAUAUUUAGAGUAAAUUGUAAACAAUAAAAUCCUAAUAAAGAAUAGAAAUCUUAAAAUAAAUUUGUUUUUUUUUUUUAAAUUAAUCAUAUAUAUAAUAUUAUAUUAGAGAAAUACGCACGUUAUUAUUUAAAAUUCUAACAUGUAAAAUGAAUUAGAUAUUUUACAUUGUUUUGAAUAAAUUAUGAAAUAAAAUUUUUUUAUUAUAUAUAAAAUUUUAUGUUAUUAAUUAGGGAGAUAAACGUUAAAUUAUUCACAGAAAAUUUAACUAUUAAAAUUUGAAUUCGAUUUAUAUUAUUAAUAUUUGUAUUCGUUUCGAAUUUAAUUAAAAAUUAAUUUAAAUUAUUAAAUUUAAUUAUUAUUAUACAAAUAAAAUCUGAAUCUGUUUAAUUUUAUAUAUUUUAAUUAAUAAUUUAUAUAAAAAUAUUUUUUAUUAAUAAUUUUUAUUUAAAAAAAUUAAUAUUUUUAAAAAAUAUUUAAAUUUUAAUUUUAAAUAAAAAUAUAUAAAUUUUUUUUAUAAAUAUUAUUGAAAAUAUUUUUUUAUAUUAAAUUAAUUAUUUAUAUAAACAGAUUCGAAAGUAUAUAUAUAUAAAAUUCAAAUCCAAUUAUCCCAUUCCAAAUUCUAUUAUAAUUUCUUUAAUCUGUCCUAUUAGGGUUCAGUAGGAUUAGAUAUCCAAAAAUACUCUAUUCAUUGUCAUACUAAUUAUUAAUUAACUCAUGUACUAUUAUUUUUAUUUAAAAUUGAAUAAUAAUAAUAAUUAUUUAUUUAAAAAAUAUAUUAAAUAUAUUAUUUUAAAUUUAUAUAAAUAAAAAUAUUUUAAUAUAUUUUUUAAAAUAAAUAAAUAAAUUUAUUAAUAAUAAUAAUAUCAAAUGAAUAAAUAAUAAAUCUUUCUAAAAUUUAUAUUAAGUUAGUGCAUAUCUAUUAUAUUGUUUUCUAAUACAAUAUUCAAAAUGACAUUAUAUUAUAUUAAAUAAAUUAAAAUUUAAAGUUAAUGAUUGAAUUUAAUUUAAUUUUUAAUAUUAAAAUAAAUAUUAUAAAAAAAUUAUUUUAAGAGUUAAUUAUUAUCCUAUAAAAAUUAUAAUUAAUUAUUUAUUUUAUUUUAUUAAUCUAAAUCAGAUGUAUCCCGAAUAAAAGUUUAUAUAAUUAAAUAAAUAUAAUAAUAACAUUAAUAAAUUAAGAUAAACUAAUAUAAAAAAUUCAUUAGAUUGGUUAAAGAGAACUAACAAUUUUAUUUUGAUUGAAGUAAAUAAAUUUUAUUAUGAGCCAAUUUUAAUUAAAAAGAAGGAACGGUCAUAAAUUCAUUAUAAUAAUGAGUAAUUAUUUUUUAUUAAUUAAAAAUUAAUACAAAUUAUGAAGACAUACAACGAGUUAAAUGACACGUGAUUAGAUAACAACAUGAGUUGGGCCCUCCAAGUUCUAAUGAAUCUGAUGACGUGGCUUUGGAAAUGGGCAUGAGUGAGACGCGUGUGUCUACCCAUUGAUGUGACGACGUGGCACCUUCUGCUAUUCAACACGCUUUCACUCGAACACAUCCAACACAACUGUCAUCUUUGUCCGUUAUUCAACACGGUGCCUAAUAGAGCUCGUUUUUCACGUGACCCAAAUAAAUACCGUACUAAAUACUAACAAUUCAACGAAAGUGGAACCGCUCGAGGCGGAGCAGUGGACCUGAAAAAAUAUAUUUUAUAUAGAAAAUUAAUUUUAAUUUUUUUAAAUGUGUUUAUUUUCUAAUAUAUCUUGAGUGAUUAAUGAUGUAUAUUUAAAUAUAUUAAAAAUAAAAAUAUAAUUAAUUUAAAAAAUUAUUGAAAUAUUAUGAGAAAUAAAUAAUUUUAUAUUUUAUAUUUUUUAUUAUAAAAAAAAUUAAGCACUCUUUAUCGGUCCCCAAUUUUUGGAAACUGUUUAUUUGAUGUUUAUUUUAUUACUACAAAAUCCUAAGCCAGAAUUCAUUAAGAUUUAUGUCAAUGUUGUUACAUGUCAGUGUCAUGCUAUAAAAGAGAAAUUAAAAAAUUAAAAAAGUUGAGCAUAUCUAAAAUUCUCACUUCCUCUUCUCAUUCUCUUUCUCAAACAACCCUAUUGGACAGUAUAUGCGGCUUUUCUAAUUUUUAAUAAAUUCUUUAUAAUAAACUUAUGAGUAUUGUUGGAAAAUUGACUGAAAGGAAUUUUAUUCCAAUGUUCAAUUAUAUACACAUAUCAAUAAAAGAUUUUAUAAUAAUCCAAUUUAAUUCAUUUUUUUAUUAAAUUUCUUAUUUAAAAUAAAAAAAUUAUUUUUUUAAUUUAAAUAUUUUUAAUUUAAACAAAAUGAAAUAAUCAUAUAAUUUUAUUAGAAUUUAUAUAAAUUUUUUUAUUGGAUAAUAAAUUAUACCAAACGAAAAUAGAGUUUAGAGUGCAAACAUUUAUUUUAAAAAUCCACCGUGAGUUAAGUCCAAUUCCUUGGAAAACAUUUUCUUUUAUUUAUAAAAUCUUGAUGUAUGUCCUAAAAUUAAGUAAUAAUUAUUAAUAGGUGAUUUGCUAUUUGAAAAUUAAAAUAAUUCAUUUAUUUUUUAAAUGUGAUGCUACUUUGACAUUUAAAUAUAGCUGUGAAUGAGCAAGGAAUUUCUGUAUAUGACCUCUAGUGUAUAUGUUCAAGCAUAAGCAAGGGUUACAUUUUAUUAAAUAAGUGUGUAUAAUAAAUUGAUUUAGGAGAAUAGAUUUUGCGAUAUUGGAUUAUUGAUAAGAAAAUCAAUCGAAUUUGAUCGGUGAAUAUUGAAAUGAAUAGUUUGAUAUUUUUUUUCCGGAUUAUUGACAAGAAAAUCAAUCAAAUUUGAUAAGCGAAUAUUGGAAUGAGUAGUUUGAUAUUUUUUUCCAUGGAGUGAGAUAAAGAGUUCAAUAUUAUAAAUGAAAGCAAAUUUCUAUGGUUAUAAAAUUUAAUUUUAGUUUAAUGUGUAGAGAUAUUGUGAUUAUAUAAAAAAAAAAAAAAUUAGAUUGUGAUUUUUAUGUUUGCAAAUGUGAUGUUCCAUACUUUUAAGAUAUGGAGGCUAAUAAUAUAUUAUGGAUUGUAUAUCAUGUUCCACCGUCACGAAUUUAACUCCACGUUGAGUUGAUUGGGUGUUGGGGUGAGAGCUCCCACCUGAAGGUGGGUUUCAGGACAAAGUUUCGAAGCGAAUUUUUUUAAGACUAUUUUAUUUUUUUGUAUUUUCUCCGAAUAUAUAAAUAUGGACUGGAUGAGGAAGUUAAAAAUAAAAUAUUUUAGAAAUCAAGAUUGAGAACUCCGUCUUGGGUUUGAGAAGAGAGCGACUGAUUUUUAAAGUUGUAAGAGUUUUGUGGUGGGCGAGAGGAGACCUUCAUUUCUCCUCUCCAUCUACCCUUUAUUUUUUAUUUUCUUUUGUUUUGUUGUGGUUUAAUUGUUAUGUUUGGCUUUUGUCUAAUGGCUUUGCCGUUUUGGUCUAUAGUUUUAUGAGUUUUGUUUUGCAAGACAUUUAAAAUCUGUUCGGGAGGGUUUUUGUGUGUCGAUAUCGACAACUUGAAACUAUAACGUUACAUCCGACGAUCAAUGCUCUCUUGUGAGCUCUAUCAUAUCCUCUCUCUUAUUAUGGUGGUCGUCCUGUUAACGGAGAUCCCAAUUUCUUUUUAUUGUGCUUGUAGAUUUUGAUUAUUGGUGGAUAGUCAAUUAUGGUUAGAUAUGAUUUUAAUAGUCGAUUGUGAUUAGAUAUGAUUUUGAUAAUUUGUAGUGUGCUUUUUAUGGUCCUGGCUUGAUUUUGUUCUUAUAAUUGAGUACUCUUUUUUCUUUUCUAAAUAUGCAUCAAGCUUUUCUCAUUUUGUUUCCGUUGAUCUUUUUUUUACUGUGCUUGAAGCAUCGAUAGAUGGUUUAGCAGAGUGUUUGCAUCUUUAUAUUUCGAACGGUAUUUUUAGUGAGAUCGCUUGAUUGUUUUCUAGGUUAUGUUAACUUUUUUGUUAGGUUUGGAUUGAUUUAAAUACUGUUUGAACUUAUAUCUCCCAACCUACUCUUCAUACAUGUUAAAAAAAAUAUAGAAAUCAGUUGCUAAACAAUUAUAGAGAAUUUUAUGUUUAACAAAUUAAAAUUUAAGAAUUUUAUGCCAUUAAAAUAAUAUUUCUGUAUAACAUUAAUAUAUACACAUACAAAUUAAAAUAUCUCAUAUAUAUUAAAAUAAUAAUAAAUCGGACAUAAAAAAAUUUGAGACUACUUUAAAAUUAAGAAAACAAAACAACACGGACUCGCUUCCACUCACGCCAAACACCAUUACCAUUAGCUACUAGGUACGAUGUACGGGUAACAGAAACGAAUACGGAUCACUAUUUCCAUAUCUCCAUUCUCCUACUUUUAUUAUUAUUAUUAUUAUAUUUUAAAAUUUUAAAUUCAAAGUGUAUCGUUUUGUAUUCAGGAAUCAAAAAGCUCUGUGAGCAUGGGGACCUGUGCUAUAAAUAUAUAUUCUUAGGAUUAUAAACUCACCGGCUCCGUACAGGUGAACCCUCCUCAAAACAAUUAUACAGAAAGUGAUGGCCGACCGGCAGCUGUCGGUGGGCAGGUGUAAAAGACUAAAAGAGGCCGUUGGAACAGAUAGAGAUGGUGGUGGUGACUGGUCGCAGGUUUACAGGCUGGCUUUGCCAGGAAAUAGCAGUAAUGAUUCUCCUUCCUAUUCGGCGAUCAAUCUUGUCGUUUUGUGCCAGCUCAGCAAUUUCGUGCGGCCGUUCUUCUUUUAAAUUUUUUUUUUUAAAAAAGAAAAGUAUAUCUGGGGAAAAUCCCACAUGAAAAUGGCAUACAGGCUGGCAUGGCCAGUCAAAGUUCAGAGUCCAUAAAAACCUUACCCAACCGUUACCAUCUUUAUCCAAAGAUAUUAUUAACAAUGCUGCCCUAAAUUUUAUCCUCAUUUUAUUAUUAUGGUUAUCUGCCUUCUCUUUGUCUCUAUAACUUCCAAAACAGUAAGCUACAAUUAUGGAAAUUUUAUCUUCUUUUUUAAUACUCCCACGCUCCUCUUACUCCGCGUCCCCCUCACUUUCCUCUAUCUUACUACCUACUUCAAUUCAAUUUUUUAAAAUCCAUUUAUCAAAAUUUCACUUUCCAAAUUAAUUAAUUAAUUAAUUAUUAUUCACUAUAUUCCAAUUUCCCUUGCAAGGGAACCAAGACAAGUUGCCAAAAAUGGGCUACCUCACUAAGCAUCCGCCAGCAAACUUCCGUUUACAAAUAUACAUAUAUAACUAUUAUUUUUUUAUUUUAAUAAUUUAAUAUUUGAAAUUCUUUUAUGAAAAAUUUACAUUUUUAUAAAUAAGAAAAUUUCCUCAUCAUGUAUAGACGCGCCAAUCAAAAUCUGAGAGAAAGAGGAAGCGCUCCGAACCAAAAACCACCGUUUAAUCAUGGUUUUGGAUAUUUUCAAAUGAGAAAAAAGGUCAGUGGAGGGGACGCUCACAACGCGCGUGCGAGAGAGAGAGUAGUGCUAAAAAAAGUCCCACCGGAGGAAAAGCAAAGAAGGGAUGUUACGGAGAGCGACUUGUGUAAAUCAGUGCUAACAAAAAGUGACGCGUGUCCGUUGCCAGCUGUAUCCCAAGCGCUCUUCUAAACCAACCGCCUGGCUCAUAACAUCGGUGCUCCAUAACUCCUGCCCUCCAACUCACCGGCUCUUCCGGUUGCUCAUCUCCCUCCCCUAUAUAUCUCUCUCUCCCUCCUAUAAAUCCCUCAAACAACCGCCACCGCUCCUAGUCAUCGUCCUCCCCUCACCACCAACUCAAAACCAGAAUUAGCCAAACAAGAAUCUAAACUUCCAUUUUAUGAUCCCCGCUACUGUGAAGGUUUUGUAAACUCUAUGGCUGUCACCGGGAAGGAUGUGGAUCGGAUUAAGGGCCCAUGGAGCCCCGAGGAAGAUGAAGCCUUACGGAAGCUGGUCCAGAAGCACGGUCCUAGAAACUGGUCCUUGAUUAGCAAAUCUAUUCCGGGCCGAUCCGGUAAAUCUUGUCGUCUCCGCUGGUGCAACCAGCUCUCUCCGCAGGUUGAGCACCGCGCCUUUACCCCUGAAGAGGAUGAUACUAUAAUCCGUGCCCAUGCCCGCUUCGGCAACAAGUGGGCCACCAUCGCCCGCCUUCUUAAUGGCCGGACUGAUAACGCUAUUAAGAACCACUGGAACUCUACUCUCAAGAGGAAGUGCUCGAUGUCUGCGGUGGACGACGCUUGUUUUGGUGGUCGCGAUGUGUAUGAUGGUAAUUUGGAUGGUAAUAGUCAGCCGUUGAAGAGAUCGGUGAGUGCGGGUUCUGGUAUGGCUGUGUCUACGGGGCUUUAUAUGAAUCCAGGGAGCCCAUCUGGGUCUGAUGUCAGCGAUUCCGGUGUUCCUGUUUUGUCCUCUUCGCACGUGUACAGACCCGUGCCGAGAACAGGCCCGGUUAUUCAUCCAGUGGAAACGACAUCGUCUUCCAAUAACAACGACCCGCCGACCUUACUUAGCUUGUCUCUUCCAGGUGCUGAUUCCUCCGAGGUCUCCAACAGGCCAGCCGAAUCAACUGCAGUACGAGUGGCGGACUCGACUCCAGCAACAAACAUAAUUUCUUUGAUGCCGGCAGUGAAUCAAGUUCCAUCUCCGGCACCGGCAUCGGAAGUUGCUGUAGUGGGUAUGCAGCAGAGGGCAGUAAAUGGAGGGUUAGAGUCUGGAUUCGUUGGUUUCACUGCAGAUUUCAUGGCGGUGAUGCAAGAGAUGAUAAGAAGGGAGGUGAGGAAUUACAUGAUGGAGCAAAGUGGCGGCGGCGGCGGAAGUGGUGGAGGCGGUGGUAUGUGUUUUCAGGCUAUAGGUGGAGAAGGGUUUAGAAAUGUGGUGAUGAACCGAGUUGGGAUGAGUAAAAUUGAGUAGUGAGUGAAACUGAACAGCUAGAGGAUAUGGAGAAGAGAAAACUGGGCUUUUGUUUUCUCUCUUUUGUUUAGGGAAUAAUUUUGGGCAUUGUACAGAGGAAGAAAGAGAUGGGUAAAUGUGAAGAAAAAAUGAAAAUAAUAUUUGACGACGAAAGAAUCUUUUUGACAGAGAAGAAGAAGAAGAGAACCUUUGAUUUUGAUAAAAUUUGGAGCUUUUACCCAUUUCAGUAGCCUUGGUUAUGAUCAGGGAACUAAAAAUUGCAACAAUAAAAUUAAAAAAAAAAAACUAUAAAGGAAAAGAAAGCAAAAAGAAAAAAAAAUAUAAAUCNNNNNNNNNNNNNNNNNNNNNNNNNNNNNNNNNNNNNNNNNNNNNNNNNNNNNNNNNNNNNNNNNNNNNNNNNNNNNNNNNNNNNNNNNNNNNNNNNNNNNNNNNNNNNNNNNNNNNNNNNNNNNNNNNNNNNNNNNNNNNNNNNNNNNNNNNNNNNCCCCUAUUUCUUUGUGGAAGUUUGAUGAAUUGGGAAUUUGCAGCCGUCAAAUUGGAAAUUGAACAGGACAAAACUGUGUCGUUUUCUAUAACACGUUAAAUAUGGUUUUCAUGCUUAAAUUACCAGGAAUUUUUAUUUAUUUGUUUAUUAUUUAUGAAUUUGGAGAAAUUAUAAACUAAAUAUGAGAUUGUGUUGGAAGUUGAAGGCAAACAUGAAAAAUUGAAGUUCAAAGGCAGUUAUAAUCGCUUUUAAUUAGCAGUUAGCAGUUAUGAGUUACGAGAGUGAGUGCAGUUAUGGACCAAAAAAGGAUUUUGCAUGAAUUAGCAUUAAAUUCUUCCACAUUCAACUAAAGAGAAAUCCCCACUAAUAAACUCUAAUAUUUCCAGAGAGUAGUUGAAGAACAAAUGCUACACGAACCACGUAGAAUAUUCAGUCACCUCAAUCAAUAUGCGAGUAGAGCAUAGCAAAUGUCAAUUUGAAUUUCAAAAUCCUUGGAAACGGAGCAAUGGAUAUGAAUGCAUCCAAUCUUUUCAAACAUUUAAUCCAAUCAAAUUUAGGUUUAAUGAUAUUAAUAUUGGAUUCACUUGAAUUUAUGUUUGUUUUUUUUUUUUGAAAUAGGGGUGGGGAGUCGAACCUUUGACCUCACAAGACUAUAAGGAUGCACUUUCCACCAGACUAAAUCUCAGAGUGCACUUGAAUUUAUGUGUUUGAUAUCUGUUUUUCCAACUUAUUUAUAUAAUUAAUUAAUUAUAAGAUGUUUAUUUUUUUAAUGCUAUUCAUAAAAAUUUUUUUGAGAGGUGAUGCGUUCGAUCAAUUAGUGAGUAUCCCUUCAUUUUCUUGGAAUGGAUUGCAAAUGUUUGCUUUUGAUUUUUUUUUUUGAGAUUUAUAAUUUAAUCUCUAAAUAUUAUCAUUAUUAAUAAAUUAGUCUCUAUAUUUUUAGAAACAUAUUAAAACAUUCUUAUAUUUUCUCUCCGUCAACAAAAUAGUUAUUCCGUUUAUUUUUACCGUUAAAAAUAUAAUAAAAGACUAAAUUACCCUCCAUUAUUUUUCUUCUUCAUCAAUUCUUCUUCCUGCUUCUGCUUCUUCUUCUUAUGCUUCUUCUUCUUCUCCUUCUUCUCCUCUUUUUGCUUUUUUUGCUUCUUCUUCUUCUUCUUCUUUUUCUUCUUUUGUUCUUCUUUUUCUUUUUAUGCUUCUUCUUCUUCUCCUCCUUCUUCUUCUUUUGUUCUUCUUCUCCUUUUUCUUCUUCUUCUUUUCGGAGGAGGAGGAGGAAAAAAAAGAUAGGGACUAUUUCGUUGACAAAAAAAACGAUAAGGACAUUUUAAUAGAUGUGAGAAAAGAUAGGGACUAUUUCGUUGACAAAAAAAAAACGAUAAUGACAUUUUAAUAGAUUUCUAAAAAUAUAGGGAGGGACAAUUUCGUUAAAGGAAAGAAAUGAUGAGAAAUGACUAUUUCGUUGACGGAAAGAAACGAUAAGGAUGUUUUAAUAUAUAUGAGAAAAGAUAGGGACUAUUUUAUUGAUGGAAAAAAUGAUAAGGAUGUUUUAAUAGAUAUGAAAAAAGAUAAAAACAUUUUAAUAGAUUUUUGAAAAUAUAAGAACUAACUUGUUAAUAAUAAUAAUAUCCAAAGACUAAAUAAAUGAUUUUAUUUGAGGGUAAAAUUGGAUUUUAAAAAUUUUUCUCCUCCUUUAUCUAAUUUUAACGGAAAAGAGAAUGAAAGAACUAUUUCGUUGACGAAAAGAAAAUAUAAGGACGUUUCAAUAGGUUUCUAAAAAUACAGGGACUGACUUGUUAAUAAUGACAAUACUCAAGGACUAAAUUAUAAAUCUCCCUUUUUUUUUUCGGCAAAAUUUAUGCUUCAACUAGUGAGGGGUCUUAAUUGAAUAUACACUCGCAUGUUUACGGUGGUGACUCCUUGAGGGUUUAAGUGUUUGACUUGCCAUCGUCUCGAUUAGGAGUCAAUAUUCGAUCGGUUUAAUUUAAAAUCGAAAUGAAUAAAAUAAAUUGAAAAUUAAAAUUUUAGUAUUUAUAAAAAUUAAAUCAAACCGAUUUUAGUCAGAAAUCGAAUCAAACUGAAUCGAUCUAAUUCAGUUUGAUUCGAUUCGAUUUUAUCGGUUUAAAUUUUUUAAUAAUUUUUUUAUUUUUUAGACUUUAUUUUAAAAUUUAAUUAGAAUAUUUUAACUUUAAUAUAAUUUAAUCUUUUUAUAUUAUUAAAAAUAAUAUAUUAUUAUCACUAAUCAGUUAGAUUCAAUUUUUUCAAUUUUUUUUGAUCAAAAUCGAAUCGAACUGAAAUAAUUAAAAUUUUUAAAAUUAAAAAUCAAACAGAACCAAAAUAAAUAAAAAACCAAACUGAAUUUUUAAAUUAAUUCGAUUCGAUCUGUUUUUUCGAUUUGAACAGAAGUUGAUAUGCUCUAAUUUCUUAAGGAUUCUGGUAGAUGGCCGGUGACUGACUAGAUCUUAAUAUAGUGAUUUUAAUUGAAAUUUAGAUUCAAAUUAGAUAAAAUCUACUAGUGAUUAUAUUUUUAAUUGAUAGUGCAAUCACUUAAAAAUCAAUUAUUAUUAUCAAAACCACAUCAGAAUUUAUUUCUCUAGAAUUAAAUCAUAAUAUCCAAUACAAAUAAAAUUUUAUUAUUUUAUCCUAUUUUUUAAAUAAUUUUAAGAAUUUAUUUUUUUAAUGAUAAAAAAAUAUAAUAAUUAAGAAUAAAGAGAUUAAAAAAUUAAAGUGAAAUAAAUCAUUACAAGCUGAAAAUAUAAGACAAUGAUCCAAUAUCAAAUAUUAAAAAAUUAAAGCAAUCAUAAUUAUUAAGACGGAUGUGAAAAUGAAUAUCAUUUUCUAAAAUUUCUAUUAAGUUCAUUAUUUAUUUUUUUAAAUAUUUUUCUUUUCUAUACUUUAUUUUUUUUAUUUUUAUGACUUUAAUAUAUAAAUUCAUUAUAAUUUAAGUUUUUUUAUACAGAAUAUUUAUAUAUAAUAUUUUAUAUAAUAGGAAUUUAUUAAUUUAUAAUAAAUAUUUAUUAUAUAUAAUAUAUUUACUAUUAUAUAUCAUAAAUAUUAAAUAUAUUUACUUCCAAUAUAAAAUUUAAAGGAAGAGGUUAUAUGUUUAAUAUAAAAUUUUAGAGGCAAUAUUGUAAUUUAACGUUUUUUUUAAAAUUCAAUUUAAUUCUCUUUAUUAUCAUUUUAAUAAAUUGAAAAAAAUUUGAUUUUAUCAUUCAUUUUAUUAUUCGAGAUUUAAAAUUUUGAAUAUAAAUAUAAAUAUUUAGAUUUUUAUAAUUCAAUAAGCUUUUAUUUAAUUUUCUAACAUAACUCUAUACAUUUGCAAGGAAAAAGGGAAUGACUUGCAAUUCGACUUCCUAAAUAUGAAAGAGUCGUGUGAAUAAAUCAACUUUGGCAAAUUUUUUUUUUUUUUUUUUUUUUUUUUUUUUUUUUUUUUUUCCUGAGAAGGAAAACUACCAAGAAAAUACAAGAGCGAGGCUUACAAAGGUGCAGCCUGCAUUUUGCUUGAGCUUGUGUUGUCUGACUUCAAUGGUGUCCGUCUAGAUUUGAAUUCUUUUACCCAAUGCCACACGUCGUCCCCCCAGGACCAUUUGGGUUCAUUCAGAGCACGUAUAGAAUUCAGGCAAACGAGAAGAGUACCACCUUCAUGUAAUAGAACCUACAUUUUUACCAAAGAAAAUUGAUCAUGAACCUAUUUAAACCUAAAGAUUAUGAAGAAAACACCAACAAAUGGAAAUUGAAUUAUUAAGAAAUGUUCUAUAUCUUACUUUAAAUUUAAAUCUAUCAAAAAAAUUUAAACAUUAAUUAUUACUUUGUUUUGGACAAAGUGACUAUAGAAGCCACGUCAUAGUUACUAAUCAUGUUGUUGAAGAAGAAAGCCAGUGUGCUAGACAGGAAAAAGAAGGAAAAAAAAACAUAGUUUCACUGUUUUUUCCAAGAGAAAUUCUGCAGGGUAAAUUCUAAGCUUCCAUUUGGUAUUUGAUUUAUUUUGUAAGAAAAGAAUUCAUAGUUACUAAUGGAAGUAAUAUUAUGGAGGCAUGGACUCAUACCGUCAACCACAGGGGAAGAAAUCCCAAAACAGAUGGAAGAGAGGCCAGAGCUAUACAAGUUAAAGCAAGAGCCACAUUUUGCUUGACCUGCAUCGACAUGCAUCUAACAAUCAAGAACUUGAGUUUGAGAACAUAUCAUUAUGUCAGGGAGAUAGCUUCUAGCAAGUACCAGGGAAGUUGUUUGGCGAGACUUCGCAACACAGAAUGGAACACCAGAUAUAUUGUCCCGCAACAAUAGGACAUCUGCUACUGCUAUGGCAGUUGCACUUGCACGUUGAGCAAGAACAAUACCUACAGUUGCAGCAGCAAGUGCUGGUGCAUCAUUGAUACCUUCCCCAACCAUAAUCAGACCUCCCCCUGUAAUACAAUCCACAAAUCUGUCAGGUCCCCAUGGUGGGUUGGGAUAAAUACCUAAAAUUUUCAUAAAAACAUCCUUAACAGUUAGCAAUUUCAGAUUAUUCUUCCAAAGCUAUUACUUCACACCAUAUACCCAAUGGAAUUCAGAACAUUAAAAAUUGAAGAAAUGUAAAUCACCAAGACAAAUUUUUGGAGGUUUUGCAUUCUUUCCUAAAUUCCAGAUAAGAAGGCUGAAACAGCUAGAAAUCAACUGAACAAGUACGAAGAUGAUAUACAUUAUCAUAAUAGCAUUUGUCACUGUAUAAGAAUUUCAUGAUGAAAUUUGGGAGUACAACACUUGUAGUGGCUCAUCUCUAGCUUAGAUCAUAAAUUGUAAUGUUAAAUGCAAGAUGAGCAUGGAAGCCUGUAGUGAAAUAGAUAAUCAAACCAUGGAAAUUGACACCCGUGCUUGCGCACCCAAAAUCUAAGACGUAAUAAUUUGAUUUUGAAAAAUGCAAAGGGCUCACCCAUAUCCCUUGAGAUGCUCUUUACAUGAUUGAGCUUGUUCUCAGGCUUCAGGCUGUAAUGAACUUCAGUGAUGCCCACAGCUUUUGCAACUCUUCGAGCACUCGAUUCAUGAUCACCAGUGAGCAUCAUAACACGGAGCCUCGCUUUAUCCUGUAAUUCUGCUAUGACAUCUGAAACCCCAGCUCGAGGUUUAUCUUCAAGAUGAAUCAACGUUACCUGCACAGGUGAUCUUACAUUUUAAACCAUGAAAUCAUAGCUGAAGCACAUUCUGAACUACCUCCAGUUUUGGUGCCUUCAUUUUGCGCGGGAUUAGAAAACAAGACAUAGAAUUAAGGAACACAAAAGGACCAUGGCUUAUCACUGCAAAAGAACUAUCCUUUUUCCAAACUAAGGACUGUACAAUUGGAAUUCCACAUCUAUAUUUUUUUUUUCUUCGCAAAAAAGGAAAAAGGACUAUUUUGUUUCUCUGCAAUAAUGGAGCUGAGAUCAUGUGGUCAUAUACUACUCAGAAAAGAAUUAAUUUGAAAUUUGGAGGCAGAAGAAGAAAAAUGCAAAUUCCAAGGACUUCUGCAUUGAAAAUGCUGUGAAAUGCCAACAAUGAUGAAUAUGGAUACAAAUUCAACAAGCAUAUAAAAAGUCAGUUUCCUCUAUUCAUUCUUGAGGACAAGAAUGAUUAAAGGAGAUUGGGAAUGUCAUGAAUAAGGAGCUGGAGAGGGAGGAGUUGAGAUGCUAAACUGUGUAACAGCCGAAUAAGAGAUCGUAUGGAUCAGGGUAGAGUAGAUAGUGAUUCAAAAAAAGAGUUGGUAGGAAACAAGGUAGUGAUUCUGUUAUUCUAUUACAGUAGGUACUAGUCUUUAGAGUGGAAAAUACCUGCAGUUGGAGUAUUUCAAAACUAAUGUCAAUGCAAAAUAUUUCUUUUUCUAUCUUUCUUCUAAUCCUCCUUUCCUCCCUCUCUCUUUUCGCUCCUCUUUCCACUCUUCUCUGUGAUUGAGAACCUGGUUACACAACACCCGAUUAAUGAUUUCAAUAACCAAACCCGUAUUGGACCUGAUUAAAAUUCAUCCUAGUCAGCAUUAGCUGAAGACUGUCCACAGUCCCAUAUCUAUUUAGUUUUGGUAAAUUAUCAGGUUCUAUAAUUUGUCCAAGUUAAUUAGUUGGUCCCUAUUUAAAAAUGUUAGAAUUGAUUUGAUUUCAUGCUACAAUUAACGGGAAGUGUUAUAGAAACUUAUUAUUCGUAUUCCUAAAUAACACAUUUGUAUUCCUCAAAUAAGGGGAGAAUUGCUGAAUUUAUGAUAUCACACGUAUAUGUCUUGGAAUUUUCAUUAUAAGUGUUAUAGGUUAUAAGAAACAAAUAUGUUAAUAUAGAAAGUAAAUAUUGAUAGAUGUGUUAGUUGCUUAAUAUUAGGGAUUGCAUGAUCAUAGGUUUGAUUUCCUUUCCUUUAUAGAUACGGUCUCCCAUGUAUAAAUAUGUUGUAAUUUCUAUUGUAAUAGAUAAAAAAAAUUACUUUUCUACAUGGUAUCAGAGUCAUUUCUAUAGAAAUUUAUUUUUUUUUCUCUCCCAUAGAGUUUAAUUUUUUUUUUUUGGAGACUUAGGCCUCCUGUUCUUUCGGAUUACCCAUCUAGGGUAACAUUUGUUUUUCAUUGCCCACCUAGGAAGAACGCCAGAGUGCCGGCGAAGCUGCCCUGAAGAGCUGAUGGGUGUCCGGCCGGUGAGUGCUCUUCACGCACCGCAACAAGAUUCUAAAGUCGUCCCACUCGCCAACGCGUGGAGGCGCGUUGCCUGUCCGUCGCUGCUCCGGUCACUCUCACCGGAGUCGCCUCGCAGCCCCCUUAUCAGAUCUGUGGUUCGUUUACCAUUUGGGUGUUGGGUGGAGGUGUUUUAGGUACCGUUCACGUCCGAGUACUGUUCACGUCCGGUUUUCUGAUUCUAUAUUUCUUUUGUUGCUAUUGUUUUGGGUUGAUUAUUCUCAUGGCUGAAGUUAAAAGCUGAGGUGAUUCCUAUGAUGACUAAAAUCACGAAACAGAAAUUGAAUAGAUAUAAUUUUCUGGAUUAGAUUAAGACUAUCCAUAUUUAUUUAAGAAGUAUCGAAAUGGGUGAUCAUCUUACCAAGGAUCCUCCAAUAGAUGAAACUAGGAGAGAUUGGAUGAAAGAUGAUGCUUGAUUAUUUUUAUAGAUCCGAAAUUCUAUUCAUAGUGAGGUAAUCAGCCUUAUUAAUCACUGUGAAUUUGUUAAAUAAUUAAUGGAUUAUUUGGAGUUUUUAUAUUCUGGCAAAGAGAAUAUUUCUCGUAUUUAUGAUGUGUGUAAGACGUUUUAUUGAGCUGAGAAAAAUGAUAGAAUUCUGACCUCCUAUUUUAUGGAUUUUAAAAGAGUGUACGAGGAACUUAAUGUCUUGAUAUCUUUUAGUACAGAUGUGAAAACUCAACAAGUUUAACGAGAGCAAAUGGCUGUUAUGAGCUUCCUUGCAAGUCUCCCUCUAGAGUUAAGACAGCUAAAUCUCAGAUUCUUUCUGACUUUGAAAUAUCAUUACAUGAUAUUUUCACUAGAAAUAGCGUACAGAGUCUCUAAUUUCCUCACACACCACUAGUAUUUUUGUUAGUUGCAAUGAUAAUGGUAGACAGAAUAACAAAGGCGGACACAGAGGAGGUUUUAAUGGUGGUAGAGGAUUUCAACGUCCUGGGGAAGCAGUUCCUACCUCUGACUCUGGUGGAAUCAUUUGUUAUUACUGCAGUGAAUCUGGACAUACAAAUAAGACAUGCCUGAAACUUCAGAAUAAAAAUCAGCGCUUAUAAAUAGCGUAUAUGGCAGUUGAGGCCUCUUUUGAUAAGAGAAUUUUGAUAUCUGCAUAUGAGUAUGCACAAUUCACCCAAUACCUUGCAUCUCUGAAAUCUUCUGACUCCUCUAUUACUGUAAUUGCCGAGUCAGGUAACUCUACUGCAUGUCUUGUAUCUCCAUCCUCCAAAUGGAUUAUUGAUUCUGGUGCUACUGAUCAUAUGUUAGGUAAUUCUAUCUUUUUGUCCAAUCUUAAGUCUCAUGCAUCGUCUUCUUAUGUUACUCUUGCUGAUGGCACUAAAUUUUUUGUUAUGGGUUUUGAGUAUGUCAACUUAAUCCCUUCUCUUUCUGUAUCCUCUGUAUUGUGUCUUUCUAAGUUCAACUUUAAUUUGCUUUUCGUUAGUAAACUCACUCGUGCACUGAAUUGUUGUGUCUCAUUCUUUCCUGAUCAUUGUGUUUUUCAGGAUCUUUCGACGAAGCAGAAUAUUGGUAAAGGGCACGAGUCAGAGGGUCUUUACGUCUUCGAUCAGCAACUACCUAGAUCCCUUGCAUGUUCCACAAGGUUAACGCUUUUUGAUGUUCAUUGUCAUUUGGGACAUUCUUCUCUCUCGGUUUUGAAGAAGUUAUGUCCACAGUUUCACUCUUUAUCUAUUCUAGAUUGUGAGUCUUGUCAAUUUGCCAAACAUUACCGUUUACCUACAGUGUUUCUAGUCAAUAAACGAAUUUCAACCCCCUUUGAGUUAGUCUAUUCAGAUGUUUGGGUCCUUGUCCUAUCGUGUCGAGGUCUGUCUUUAAGUACUUUGUUACUUUUGUUGACGAUUUCUCUAGCAUUACUUGGUUAUUUUUAAUGAAGAGUCGUUCAGAAUUAUUCUCUAUUUUUUGUGCUUUUUAUGUUGAAAUCCAAACUCAAUUCAAUAUUUUCAUUCGAAUUUUGCAAAGUGAUAAUGCUAAAGAGUAUCUUUCUGGAGAAUUUCAAUCUUAUUUAUUACAAAAAGGGAUUUUUCAUCAGUUUUCCUGUGUUGAUACUCUUUCACAGAAUGGAGUUGCCGAAAGAAAAAAUUGAUAUCUUCUUGAAGUAGCCAGAGCCCUUUUAUUCCGAAUGAAAGUACCUAAAUGCUUUUGGACUCAUACUAUAUUUAUUGCUUGUUUUUUUAUCAAUUGCAUGCCCUCCUCCGUCCUUCAUGCUGAUAUCCCUCAUAACAUUUUGUUUCUCAAUAAAUCUUUGUUUCCUAUUGAGCCACCUAUUUUUGACUUGUUUUGUUCGUGAUGUUCAUCCACAGGUUACUAAAUUAGAUCCCAAAUCACUUAAAUGUGUCUUUCUUGGCUACUCUCGACUUCAAAAAGGGUAUCGUUGUUUUUCUCCUGAUCUUAAUCAGUACCUUGUGUUUGCUGAUGUAACAUUCUUUGAAUCAACUCCGUUCUUUUUGCCAUCAUUUGUUUAUAACACCCAAGGGGAGGAAGAUGGCCUCUUGUUAUACACUGUUUGCUCUCUGUCUCCUCAGACUCUUCCUGCACCUUCCGCUCAUGUGCCAGGUCGCUCUCCCAUUUAUCAUGUUUAUUUUAGACGCUUAGAGGACUCUAACUCCGCUCUGCUACCAGCUUCUUCGUCGAUAGAUCCUUCACUGUCUUAUUUGGAUUUGCCCAUUACUCUUCGUUAAGGUAAACGUACUUGCACUCAUCCCAUUUCGUCUUUUGUUUCUUAUGGUCAAUUAUCCUCUUCUUCUUGUUGUUUUGCCACUGCUUUAGAUUUUAUUUCAAUCCCCAAAACUGUUAUUGAAGUUUUAUCCCGUCUUGGUUGGCGUGCUGCAAUGAAAGAGGAAAUGAUGGCCCUAGAUACUAAUGGUACUUGGCAGUUAUUGGAGGAGGAAUGGCCUAAGCCAUGCGUGAACUUUUAUGAUUGAAGAAGUUAUUGGAGGAGCUAAGGUUGUCCAAGAGAGAUAAGAUAACUUUGUAUUGUAAUAACAAAACUGCCAUCAGUAUAACACGAAAUCUAGUUUAAUAUGACCGAACGAAACACAUUGAGAUUGAUCGGCACUUAAUUAAAGGAAAAUUAACAGACGAUGUCUUGAGUUUAGUUUAUGUGACUUCCACCGAGCAAUGUGUAGAUGUAUUUAUUAAAGGGCUCAAUAAUAGAACCUACCAUAAUUUGAUUUGUAAGUUGGGUAUGUGGACAUCAGCGCACCAACUUGAGGGGGAGUGUUGACUUAUGCUAGUGAUAUGAUUUGAUUUGACUAAAGAUUCUAGCUAAUACUCUAAAAUUCUCCAAAAUUCUUUAAUUUUAAUGCACAAAUCCUCUCUUUUGACAAAAGGAUACUUUCUUCCUUUGCCUCCUCCACAUUUCAAAUGCAUCCUCUUUGAUUAUUACAUGCCUACAUAAUCCCAUCUCAAGUAUACUAUUCCCAAAAUUCCAAGAUUCUUUUCUAUACCAUUCUUCUUCAUAAGCGUUCACAUCCUCUACUUGAUUUGAUAUCUUCUCAACAAAAAUACCAUUCUUAUGUUCAAUCACUUUAAAAAUUCCAAUAGCAAGAAGACUAUCUUCAAUAUUUUCUUCCGUUACAGAACAAAUCCCAAAUUUUGUCUUUAGAGAAGACACCUUCUUCCAAGUGUUGCAAUUAGCAAGUGUCACCCUCUUCCCUUGUUUUUCUUCAAAGGCAUCAUUGUCACUCUUGUUGGUAUUUUUUAAUAUUUUAAUGCACAAAUCAUUAAAUCCUCCCUUGAAAAAAUGGCACUUUCUUCUUUUGCCUCCUCCAACAUUUCAAAUGCAUCCUCUUUCAGUAUUAUAUGCCCAGCUCAAGUAUACUAUUUCCAAAAUUCCAACUCUUUUCUAUACCAUUCUUCUUCAUAAACUUUCAUAUCCUCUUCUUGAUUUGGUAUAUUCUCAACAAAAACACCAUUCUUAUGUUCAAAAACUUUAAAAAUUUCAAUAGCAAGAAGACUAUCUUCAAUAUUUUCUCCGGUUAUAGAACAAAUCCUAAUUUUUGUCCUUAGAGAAGACGCCUUCUUCCAAGUGUUGGAAUUAGCAAGUGUCACCCUCUUCCCCUGUUUUUCUUCAUAGAUAUUUCCAAGCUCCAGUUCUUGAAAAUCUUGAAUUUACAAGGGAAGCUUCAAAGAUGUUUUCAUGCUCAAACUCUAACUAUUCUCUUCAUUGGCACCAUUGACAUCAUUAGGUUCUUUGCCCUCAAACGCAAUCAGUUCUAUCUUUCGCAAAAUAGAUUCAACAACAGGAGAGUUUAGAGAAUCACCUUGGUCUUUGGCAGAUCCAAGAUUGGGGUUAGGAAGCAAUCCUCUGUUUUUCGGAACCCUACGUUUAGUGACUCUGUUUUCUUGAGCCCCUUCUGAGCUGCUGCAUUUUUCUUUACCCUUAUCCUUCAUGUCCUUCAAUACAAUACCCAUAAAAGCACGCACUUCAUCCUUGAAUUCGCUGCUCUAAGCAUCAGAUUUAUUGAAUUUUUCUUUCAGUGCCUCCAGAUCCUCUACAUUUUUCUGCACUGUCGGUUGCAAAAUCCUUAAUUGUUCCUCCAAUCCAUAACCCCUAAUUGCUUCUUGGCCUAUCCACAACCCCUAAUACGUUCCUCAUCAUAUUUUCUUAUUUUUCUUUCAAUAGUUUCCAAUAAUCUCUCAAGAUCCUCUUGUUCCCAAGAUUGUAUUACCUUGAUAUGAAGAAAAGAAAACCAUGAUAUGUGUUAUGAUAGAAACACAAAGUUUAAAGAAAGAAUCAGGAACAGUGGAAAAAUAGAACCAAACAAGAAAGAAAGUGAUGAAACGAAUAAGAUAUUUCAAAAAUUUCAAGAAACAUAUUUCUUAAAAUACAGGAAUUGAGAAAUUAAAUAAGUGAAGAAAGAAUAAAAAACAACUAGAAAAAGAAGAAAAUCUGAUUCAAGAAUUAGAAGAAUAAAUAGGAGGAUAGAAAUUUUAAUGAAAUAAAGAAGAAACAGAGAGCAGAAACAAAAGAAAUUUCAGGAAACAAAGAAAAAUUAGAGGAAGAAAGAGAAGAAUCUUAAGAAGAAAGAAAAUAAAUUUCAGGGAAGAAGAAACAAGAAUUUAGAGGAAAAGAAGAGAGAAAGACACCUGAUUCUGCCAUGGAUGCGACCUAAAUCAACCAUUUGCAACUCAAUCGCACUCAGAAAACAAGCUCUGAUACCUAUUUGUCACAGAACCUAACUAAGAGUCUUAGCAAUCAUAGAAUAAGAAUCCAGAAGAGAGAGAGAAAAGAGGAAGAUAGAAAAGAGAGGAGAGAAGUAUUGAUAGAAAGAGUGAGGGAGGUAAUUCUCAUUGAUCUUGAAAAGAUGAUCAAUACAGCUCAACAAUAGUCUUUUAUACUGUAGCUGGAAGGUAGUUACUACUAACUUUAUAAUAUACAACUGUAACUAUCACUCAACAUUUUUUCUCUCCAAAUCCCGAGCCUAUUUAUUCCUAUAUUUUCUUCUCUUACAUGUGACAAAAGGCUAUCCGCUGCAUGGUUAACCUCUCUGCUGAUAUGUAGAAGUUUGAAACCUGAGAAUUCUCAGUAGAGCUUUAAUAGUUGAUACUAGGUGAAGUCUAUUCUCCCGAGAGAUACUAUCGGCCAGAACCAACUCCAAAGCCUCCGAAUUGUCACAUUCUAUGGCCACUGUUGUGAUAACAUGUUAAAUUUUUAAUAAUAGAAAGAAGAGGAAAAAGGGAGGAGAAGGUAAAGCCUCAAAGGCUACAUCUUUACUUAAUUUCUAUCUUCACUUUACAUAAGAUGUAGUGCAUAUUUAUAAUGAAAAUAAUAUUAAGACAUAGAUCAUUAAAUUAAGGAAGAUAUAUCCUUGAAGUAAGGAGACGAGAAACCUCUAAAUAAAAGAGUAGUAUUCUCUUUCUCAAGGAGGAUCUCAUCAACUCUAACAAUAUGCCUAUCAUACAGAUCGACAUCUCAACUCCACCCUCUCCAAUCAGCAUUUCCCAUCAUCUUACUCAUGUCUCCAGAUUCAAGUAGGGUGAUUUUUGCAAAUACCUACGCAUUACCCUCCUUAUUAGAAACUAUAAACAAAUAAAAAAAAAUAGAUGACUGGACAGAGAAAAGAGAGAGAUGGGUGGUGGACACUGGGAUAUGAGAAAAGGAACUUCUACUUCACAUUUAAAGAGCUCACUUCAUGUUUGAGGUUCAAGUUUUAUUUUUCAGGUGUGAGGACUCCUUUAAUUGCAAAUUCAAGCCAUCUAGUCGUAAUGAUGAUUUCUUUAUUCAUAUAGGCCCAGGUGGGAGUUCUUGGUUAUGGAAAGCAAAGGAAUUAGCAGUAACAAUAAUUGAAGAAUGGCCAGGUAUGACAUCCUUCUUAUGACGAAGUUACUAGUAGUUUUCUAGUUGAAGGUUAGAUAAUAGUGACUAAGAGCAAGUUCUGUAGAAAAUAAGCGUGUGGAGCUUUGUAUUUGGUGUAUGACACAAAGAAAACUGAAGUGAACUGAACUGUUCACGGUUUGUAGGUAGGGACAGGAAAGGUUAGGUAUGAGAUAGACCUACUUGGAUAAUCAACAAGUAAUUGAGUAAAUUCACAUGCUUCCUUUUUCACUAAAAUCAUGCAUAUUUUCUUUGAUAUCGAGAUUUCAAAAUUAUUUGCAGCUUGAUUAUUCCUUUUAAGCACCAGCAAUGAGUAAGAGUAACAUCUAGUAAGAGUAAACCAAGUCAGCAUAAUGAAUGGAGGCUUACCUUUUCAUCUACAGAAAGGGCAGCAUGAACAAAGUCAUUUCCAAAAGAAGAUGCCUUAACAGCUUCCUUGAUCUUUCUUGAUUCAUGUUCAGAUUUACAUAGUGAAGCGAUAAACUCUACAGAACCAAGAGAUGCCUUCAACAACUUAACUCUACCAGCUCCUGUCUGUAAAAAUAAAAAUGAUUUUAAAUUCACGUUGCACAAAAGUAAAUAAAUAAAUAAAUCUAAAAGGCCUUAGCUAUCACCACACACAGUAACUGAUCAAUCUUUGCAGGAUUUGCAGAUUGAAUAACAAACACAAAAGUUCUUCAAAUGUAUUUUAAAUUCAGAAAACAAGAAUUCAGUAUUUUAUCAUCAAAAUUAAAUAUAUUUGCUGAAAAGACUGUACCUCCAUGUUACUAAGAGUUGCUGUAAGACCUCUACCAGGAAAGUAUUCAAAACUUUCUACAGAAACGGAAGGUAGGUCUUUGCCUACACUGUGAUCUACAACAGCUCUGCGAAAAGCAGAAGAAUGAGUACUUCAAAAACAAGCUAGUGACAUUGAAUUGAUAGAAUGAAACAUACAAGUAUGUCAACAAAUAAACUUUGGUGAUUGAUGACAAAAAUAUAAAUAAUUCCAAAUUCAGCCAAUUAUAAUCAAGUCGCCCAUGAAUUAGAUCCUGAAAAUAGAUCUCCUCGUUAAGGUUUUAUAAAGAGAAAAAAAGAAAUUGCAAGCACCCAAAAAGUCAAUAAUCAACAAAGUGAAACAAUGAAAAACCUGAAAGUGGCAUUUGAAUUAAACUGUAUGAUCCCCAAAAAGAAGUAUUAAGGUCUCAUCAGAUAGAUAGACAUCCUAGAAAAACAAAGUACGUGACUGCUAUCUAAAUAAGAAACUGUCCAAUUCAUUGGACACUGAAAUACCACAAGGACUUCUAUUGUUGACAUUAAACUUUGUAAAAUUCAAUGGUAAACUAAAAUCUUUAAUUACACAGGUAAAGAGGGCUGGAAACUGGGAAUAUAAGAAGUUGGGAUGUGAGAUGGAUAGAAUGAAGACAAAGCUAAAGAAACAUGCAUGAGUGAAUUUGGUGGCCCGCGUGUUGGCAUAUGUCAAUAAGCUGAUGGAGUACAGAAAAAUCCCUAAUAGAUAUCAUGUCAUUAACCAUGAUGUAAAGCUCUAGCGAAUAUCAGAACCAUCCCAAUUGAUCAUGUUGAAAAAGCAAUGAAUAUGAAGCAUCAUGUCACCUUCCAAUAGGGUGAGUAGUACCCUUUUCCAUAGCAGCUGCUACAGCAAGAGCUUCUUUCUCACAGCUGGGAGUGCAACAGGAAGUGAAAUUCAUAUCCUCGUUUCUUACCACAUGUCCAUAAAUUGGUUCAAUUGCUUUAAACAUAAGCCCUCCGGUUGUCAAUGUCCCAGUUUUGUCAAACGCCACUGUGUGGCAGGAAGCUAGAGCAUCUAAAACUUGGCCUCCUUUAAGCAAUAUUCCCUGUGGACAAAGAUUACCAAGGCUGUCAAAUGAGGUUCACUCCAUACAUGACACUUUAAGCUCUACUUUAGCUUCAGGAAAAAAAAAAUCCCAAUGAAAACGGAUUCAAUCUAAGGAACAACAUAGUUGUAUAGCCUCCAAGUAUGAGGAUUGUGAGAACAGUAUCUAUUGGUAUCCACACUGGAAGAAUGUUUCUCCCUUUUUGUUUCAAUAUAUGAAAAACAAAUUACUAUGUCUGGCAGAUACAAAAAUUGUUCUAUACAAUUAAGAAGAAUGAUAACAUUCAAUUUGAAUAUAUAGCUAACAGGUACCUUUCUAGCACAGGAACUAAUAGCAGUGGCAUACGCCAAUGGAGCUACAGCCAAGGCACAUGGUGAUGCUGCCACCAUCAGCCCUAGUGCUCUGUACACUGAUCCUCUGCAGACUAUAUCAGUAACCAAGCUUUAGAUAAGAAAAAAAAAUAAGCAUAUGUUCAAAUUCAACAAUGUAUUUGAGAUUUAUCAGAAGUUCAACAAAAAACUCAAUAGAAAGAGAGAGUAAGCUAAUCAGAAAUACUAAUAAGAAAGAACAAUGUACUUCACAAACAUUUAAUAAGGCCUUAAAGCACAAGGAUAAUUGUCAUGCCUCAUAUGUUCAACAAUCAAUUCUCCCCCUCUAACAGAUUGGUUGGCUGAAGGGCUACAUGCUUAGUUCAAAGCAACUUUUCAACUUCUCCAAAUCCUUUAGGAAAUUUGAAAUAUGUUGCAAAUACAAGCUAAAGAGAUUUUGCCUAUGGAUAGAUACUAAGAAUAAUUAAACAAAGACUCAACUACUUGCACCCAUGUGUCAUCCCCCCACCCCCCCAAAAAAAAAAGCAAAUGUACACAAAUUCAUCAAGGCCCUCCCAAGAUCAGCAGUAGUAGUGCAAAGAAUACAUGAGGAUCAGUUAUUAUCAGAAUGAAUCAACGUAUUUGUAAACAACAUCAAUAGCAUAAGGCACGUUAACACAAAACUCUAAGAAAUAUUAUCAAAGAGAAUAACUAAAAGUGGGAGCUCUUUGUUUAAGUUACCUGAUGUGCUAAAGAAUGGCCACUUGAAAAGAAGUGGCCCAAGCAGAGCAACAGCAAUGGACAACCCUACAACCACUUUGCUAUAAUGCUCACCAAAUUCAUCCAGCCAUCUUUGAAGCUUUGGUUUAUUUAGUUGUGCUUCUUCAGUCAAUUGUACUAUCCUGUUCAGUGUUGACUCUUUCCACAUCUUUGUGGCCUGAAUCAAGUUUAGAGAGAGACAUCAAGAAACCAGUUUAAUGGAAAACAGAAAAAAAGUAAGCAUAAGAAAUGAAAACUUUUGUUAGAACUCUCACCCAUUAAUCCAAAGGAUUUGAGAAUGAAUCAAUAUGAAGCAACAAGAAAAAGGGGUAUCAACUUCUGAAAGAACUUAAUCACUAGCAAAUUAAUAACAUACCUUUACAAUCAUUCUACCGUCCAAAUUCCUUGCACCACCAGGAAUCCUGUCUCCAACUUUUGCCUCUAUUGGUUUAAUUUCUCCAGUCAAAUGCUCAAUAGUAAUUGUUGCACUACCUUGAAAAACUUCACAAUCUACAGGCACCACCUAAACAUAAAUACAUGAUACUAGCAUGUGUUAUGAAACUAGUGGUUCCAAUAUGUUGUACACAAAAGUUAAAAGCUUUCGCCUUUCAACCUAGGUACCAGUUUGUACCAUAAUCUUAAAAUUUGAAAUGGCAAUAUCAACCAGGAGAAUUCAUGGAACCAUUAGGUAGCUAAUAAUUGAAAUUUUGGCUUGGUUUUUAAAUGUCCUUGCUGUAUUAUUAUGUGAAAAGUCAUAGGCGAGUGGCACAAAAACAUCAAUUAGACUUGGUAAGUUUAAAUUCAGGUCCACUAGAAUACCAUGCAUCCGUAUAUUACUAUUACCAUAAGCCAGCAACAGAAAAAUUUAGCAUUUUUCAAUUUUUUGUGUUGACUUAUUUGAAAUGAUUUGAUUUGAUUAUAGAUUCUAGGCAUAAAUUGGGAUCUUUAAUUAAAUCUGUAAUUAUUAUUUGAUUAUUUGCUUCCUGUUUAGUUGCCAGUCUUUAUAUAUAAAUAGUCAUGUAAAUCACUUGUCAUGAUCAAGAGUGAAAUACAAGAACACUCUAAAAUUCUCCAAAAAUUCUUCACUUUGCAAUGUCUUGAACCUAUGGGGGUGCUAGAAUCUAAUCCAGGAAAAGUAUAUUGGCCAAUAGCCAUUAUGACUUCCAUCCAGUGAAAAAGCAUCUUAUUGGAAGAAAGAUAAAAAGGCAAUUCUAAACAUUAAUAGACCUUAGUUAGCUAGAUAGUUCUCUUGAGAAAAGGACAAACAGUUAUCAGCCUCAAUGGGAGAUAUUAUCAAAUUGAGAAGGGAGUCAAAGGAACUGCCACAGGUAAACUUGGCAGAGAUAGAAU